GGAGCAAGGCAGUAGCACCCCUAAGCUAUUUCCUGGUCUGGCCCAGCCCGAGUCUCAGAGCCAGAGAGGAGUGAGCUGGACUCCCUUCAAAGCAAUCCUGUGCCAGGAUCUCCUACCAGAGGAUCGUCGGCCUCAGGGGUGAGCUCUGAGACCUUCCUUGAGAAGAUGGUGGCAGGAGAGGUGCCCUCAAUUGCCAUCAGCCUGAUGAAAACGCACAAUAAAAUGGAAUAGAAAAUCCAUUGACAAGAAUCAUCUCCAAGCCCUGGACAGACAGGAGAGCCAGAUGUGGGGACAGAUGUGCUGUGAGGACAUGUGUGACAAUUUGGGUAUGACCAAAGUA
rnacentral:lncRNA from 9 species